AUUGAACGCUGGCGGCAUGCUUUACACAUGCAAGUCGAACGGCAGCGCGGGCUUCGGCCUGGCGGCGAGUGGCGAACGGGUGCGUAAUACAUCGGAACGUGCCCAGGAGUGGGGGAUAGCUCGGCGAAAGCCGGAUUAAUACCGCAUACGACCUGAGGGUGAAAGCGGGGGAUCUUCGGACCUCGCGCUAUUGGAGCGGCCGAUGGCAGAUUAGCUAGUUGGUGGGGUAAAGGCCUACCAAGGCGACGAUCUGUAGCUGGUCUGAGAGGACGACUAGCCACACUGGGACUGAGACACGGCCCAGACUCCUACGGGAGGCAGCAGUGGGGAAUUUUGGACAAUGGGCGAAGGCCUGAUCCAGCAAUGCCGCGUGUGUGAUGAAGGCCUUCGGGUUGUAAAGCACUUUUGGCGGGAACGAAAAGGACUGUGCCAAUACCACGGUUCGAUGACGGUACCCGCAGAAUAAGCACCGGCUAACUACGUG
rnacentral:rRNA from 1 species